AUUGAACGCUGGCGGCAUGCCUAACACAUGCAAGUCGAACGGCAGCACGGCAGUAGCAAUACUGUGGGUGGCGAGUGGCGGACGGGUGAGGAAUACGUCGGAAUCUGCCCAGUCGUGGGGGAUAACUAGCCGAAAGGUUAGCUAAUACCGCAUACGACCGAGAGGUGAAAGCGGGGGACCGCAAGGCCUCGCGCGAUUGGAUGAGCCGACGUCGGAUUAGCUAGUUGGAGGGGUAAAGGCCCACCAAGGCGACGAUCCGUAGCUGGUCUGAGAGGAUGAUCAGCCACACUGGAACUGAGACACGGUCCAGACUCCUACGGGAGGCAGCAGUGGGGAAUAUUGGACAAUGGGCGCAAGCCUGAUCCAGCAAUGCCGCGUGUGUGAAGAAGGCCUC
rnacentral:rRNA from 1 species